GGGCCAGGGGCGGGGCCCUACCGUCCGCACCUGCGCGCCCCUGGGUCUGUAACCUGGGAUCUCCUGGAUACAAAGUGGCAGAGGAGGCCCAGAGCCCUGUGGGUCCGCCUUGCGUGCCUCCCGGGAGCAGCCUCCUCUGCAGGAGCCCGGGGGCGGGAACAGGUCAUCGUGAUAGUUUAGAUGGGGAUACUCGCAACUCUUCACACACGCGCGUGUGUAUUAUUACAUUACAGACGCGCUCUCCUAGAGACCUGGUAGGGCACAUGCACGUGCAUUAGGUCACACGUACUCGUAAAACCUGCGUCAGAGCCCAGCAUAGGGUGAGCGUUACGUGUGCGCUGUGAUGGUUAUUAGCACCAUCGAACUACAAAAUAGAAUCUUAAAAAGGCCAAAGACUCACCGGCGAGGCUCAAUAAUGGUAAUGACGAUGGUGAUGGCUUAGGUGUGUGAUACAAACAUUUACUACGUGUUAAAUGUUGUGCAUUACCUUCUUUCAUUGGCAGGCAAGGUCCCUGUGAAGUAGCAGCUGCUUUACUGAUGAGGAAACGGAUGUUUAGAGGGAUCAUGUGCCCAGGACAAGAGCCAGCAGGGGCUGGAAGGGGCUGGUCUGUCCUCUGAGCCUCCGCUCUCAACCACCACCAGUUUCCCUAAGUGAGAUUUUAGGGGGUGCAGGGGUGGGUCCCUACAUCACUUUCUAUCGCACGGUAAGAAAGUUACUUCCAUCAGAAGACUUGAACGAAAAGGAAGUAACUUUCUUCCUUCUCGUUCCAAUCUUCUGAUCUUGCCACGAGCAAGUCCCGGCUCGGUGCUAAUCUAUUAGCCAGUCUCUCCUUUAGGAGAAUAGGCCUGGACCUCAAAGCCCUUGGGUAGCCGAGUCAGCAGAUAGAGGAUGUGAUAAUGGCAUUUCUUUUCAUGGUAUUUAUUUUGUCUCCAUACUGAUUUCCCAAUGACUAUAGCGAAAUAAAGUUUGUUUUACAUUUAUUUAGGUCACAGGGAGUUGAUUUAAAUGUUAGGUAAAUGACGUUUCCCUGUGCCAUGUGUGCAUGGGCUCUGGGACCUUGGCAAGUUUCCUGACCCCUCUCUGCUUUGGUUUCCUCACCUGCAAAAUGGGGUUGCUAUCGAUGCCCCCCGCCCCCCGGAAGGAGUAAAUGUACUGAUACGUGGAACACACGAACCGGGAGCCCCACCUGCUAAGCACCGAGUUUGUUGGUGUUGCUUUUGUCCGACACAUCACCCGCCCCCUCCGAGAACCUUCCUCGGAUUCCUGAUGCCUCGCUGUCGUUCCUCUCCCUCGGUCCCCAGCCCACCGACCUCUUCCUCCUGGACCUUUCUCAGGGUCUAAGGCUUGGCCACUCUUAUAGCCCCAGGGACUCUGUUGUACUCUCAGUGCUGGAACUGGCCUCCUCAGGAGCUACUCAUAGGUCCCCUCAUAGGUCUGGUCCUGGGCUCGCCCCGGCAACAACCCUAAAGGUACGAGCGGACACGUCCACACACUGUACACAGUUUGAGUGCUCUACACAGAGUAGCACACCUCAUAUCACGACGGCCCUUUGAGGUGGGUAAGAGGAGGCGAGGAUGGGAAGAAGAGAGGAAGGGAGGAAGGAGACUUCACAAGGCCCUCCCCGCGGGGUAGGCAGAGUAGAACUUGCUCGCCCAGAGUGUCCAGACUCCGCAUUAAAUCAGUUUUCCACUCACAAUAACAAUCCUAAAAUGACAGCGUUUAUUGUCAAAGGGUUGUUUUAAGGAUGAAUUGGACUGAGAUACGUAAAGUGCCAAGAGCCACGCCUGGCGCACAGUAAGUGCCACGUAUAUGUCCUUAACAACAAUAAAAAUAACUCUUGCCAUUUUGUGGAGGUAGAAACUGGGACUCAAAGGUGACAAACCGCCGACCCUAGGACGCGUCAUUUCCGUCGGCCUUACUGCGAUAGCGUUGACGACGUGUGUACGUUUAAGGUGUGCACGCUGUGUGGACGUGAGGCACGUCUAGUGCACCUCGAUUACCGGCAUGGCAUCAGGUGACACCUAGGCCAGAACACAGAAUGAUCAUCCCUUUUGGUGGUGAGGACACCUACCAUCCAGUUUCUUGGCAAUUUUCAGAGACCGGAUACGCUAUCGUGACUAUCAUCGCCGUGCUGCGUGUCAGAUCCCCAGGACUUACUCGCCUUCUAGCCGGAAGCUCGUGCCCUGGGGACUGACCUCUCCCCGUCUCCCACAAGCCCCACCCCUAGGAACAGCACUCUACUCUCUGUUCCUGUGAGUUCCUCUUCUCUGGAUGCGAAAUACAGCUCUCUGGACGUCUGUGGAAUAAGUAUUUUGAAUUCCUAAUUGCACAAUCCCUGGAUCUCCGUGUCCUUGGGGCCGGUUACUGGAGGUUGACUAUAUUCUUCUGGUGGGGCCGUGUGUCUCCAAUUCUUGGUUGUCCGCGCUGCCUUGAAUCAGUUCUGUGCAUUUGAAGAAGCCGUCACCUCUUCCAGACUUUGUGGACUGACUUCAGGAAAGGAAGACUUUUAUCUGUUGUGACCCUGGGUCUGGUGAUGCAGGACACCACACUUGGAGGCACGCAGCAGCCCUGGGUUUAUGGGGGGAGGUGGUGGUGGUACGUGUCAUCUCCUUGGCUCAGGGGUCCAAAAGCAUCCACAACUUUGUGAUCCUUCUGCAAGGGCCGCUGGCACCCUUCGUGGUACUGCCGUGUUCAGUGUCCAGGCAUCGUGGCAGGCAGUGGCGGUGCCGGAAUCAGUGCUAUGCACACACUGGUCUGUGGUGGCCAGCCACAGGUGUCUACACGGGGGCAGUGGCCAGUGGCAGACACAAACAUAGUGGUGAGAGUCAAGGCAGGCAGCAAGAGCCAGGGCCAACUAUGGACUCAUAGGCAGCUGGUGGGGCCCUGGCUGUUGGCACACUCCCCGUGGCUGCGGUCUCCCUUCAAGCAUGAGCACUGCAGAGAGGCCAGUGAUGGGCAUCAGGCCAGUCACAUGGAUGCACAGCUGGAGGGGAAAACUGCAAGCACACACCUGGUGGUAUGGUGGGCGGUCAUCCACAGGGUUCCAGGCUGGCACCUUGCCCUUGUGCAGCCUCAGAGGCCUGAGCUGGCUGCCCCUAGUGCCGUUCCUAAGCUCCAGUGGGGGCGAGGGGAGUGGGCUGGGAGGGACUCGGGUCGCUGGCACCAUCAAAUGUGAUACCUGUGGGUCAAAGACUGCCGAAGUCUGCAGGGGCGCCGCAGCAGCUGUGCUGGCCAUUUAUUCCUUCAGUGGAGACACCUGCUGCGGUUGCCUGCAGGGCAGGUCGUUGUGAAGCCCGGCGCUCCCGCUGCAUUGCUGAUGUUUUUCUUCCGUGUCCGUAGCCGUCUCUACACGUGUCCACUUCGCCAUUCUGAUGCAGUGAGACCGAAGCCGGACCUCCGUGCAGCGCCCCUGAAAGGCCGGGGGAGCCAGUGGCCGUCCCUGCUCUCCCUUUCCCGGCACGGACAACUCCGCCAGGCUGGGACAUUUCCUCUCGGCACCGAGCAGUGCCAGCUUGCGGGAUGGGUUGACUUAAGUACAAGGAAACUUGCUUUCUUCUUUUCUUGUGCAGUUCUUCUCAGGCUUUGUGUUCACUACGUUGCUAGAGUUUCCUGAGUGGACCCCAGACCCAUUCCAGAGCUGCGUUCGAGGUCACUGUCUUAAUUGUUGACCUCGUAGGGGAGAUAGAGGCUGAAGUGUCCCAUGUUGCCAUUUUGAUGACAUCACUCCCGCAAAGACAGGACAUCGGAGCCCAUCGGUCUAGGUUCCGGUCCAGAGCUGCAGCAGGGGAGAGCGUAACUCUGGCCGAAUAUCUGUCCUCUCGUGGGAGAUGGAGCCCGGAACCCAGGAGUGGCAGGCACUUUGGAAGCUCCUCUAUCCUGGAAUGCUGCAUCUUGGUGGAGGCAUCUGGAGGCAGACGACCUGGUUUGCAUGUCAGCUCUGCCCCUUACAGGUUGUCUCCUAGAGCCCACAGCUGUGUGACUUUGGGCAAUGGUGAGCUUCCGAUUCCUCAUCUGUAAAACGGGGAUAAAAAUGAAAUUGCUGUAAGAAUAAAAGAAAUAGGGAUCCCUGGGUGGCGCAGCAGUUUGGCGCCUGC